rnacentral:rRNA from 1 species
UUAAAUAGCCGCUUUUGUGCUAAGGUAGCAUAAUAAUUUGUCUUUUAAUUAAAGACUAGAACAAAAGACUUAACAUCUUAAAUAAUUUUUAUAUAAAAAUUAUUAAAAUUAUUUUAAUUGUAAAAAAACAAUUAUUUAAUAGAAAGACGAUAAGACCCUAUCGAACUUCACUUCAGUUUAACUGGGGUAGUUAAUUAAUUAUUAUUUUAAAAAAAAAUUAAAUAUAUAAUUUGACCUAAUAUAAUUAAUCAAAUAAUUAAGUUACCGUAGGGAUAACAGCACAAUAAAAUUUUCUAGCUCUUAUUUAAAANUAAAGAUUGUGACCUCGAUGUUGAUUUAAUAUCCUAUUUCACGCAAUAGUGAAAUUAAGGAAGUCUGUUCGACUUUUAAAAAAUUACAUGAUUUGAGUUCAGACCGGUGUAAACCAGGUCGGUUUCUAUCUUCUANAAAAUAUUUCUUCUAGUACGAAAGGACCUAAGANAAAUAAUAAUAUUAUCAUAUUGGCAGAAUU